rnacentral:rRNA from 1 species
AUUGAACGCUGGCGGCAGGCCUAACACAUGCAAGUCGAACGAGUGGCGGACGGGUGAGUAAUGGCUGGGAAACUGCCUGAUGGAGGGGGAUAACUACUGGAAACGGUAGCUAAUACCGCAUACCAUCGGAUGUGCCCAGAUGGGAUUAGCUAGUAGGUGGGGUAAAGACUCACCUAGGCGACGAUCCCUAGCUGGUCUGAGAGGAUGACCAGCAACACUGGAGCUUAUACACGGUCUAGACGCCUACGGGAGGCAGCAGUGGGGAAUAUUGCACAAUGGGCGCAAGUCUGAUGUAGCCAUGCCGCGUGUAUGAAGAAGGCCUUCGCGUUGUAAAGUACUUUCAGCGGGGAGGCGUUACUCGCAGAAGAAGCACCGGCUAACUCCGUGCCAGCAGCCGCGGUAAUUC